UGGGGAAUAUUGCACAAUGGAGGGAACUCUGAUGCAGCGACGCCGCGUUAACGAAGAAGGCUUUCGAGUCGUAAAGUUCUUUUAUAUGGGAAGAUAAUGACGGUACCAUAAGAAAAAGCUCCGGCUAACUACGUGCCAGCAGCCGCGGUAAUACGUAGGGGGCUAGCGUUGUCCGGAAUCACUGGGCGUAAAGGGUUCGCAGGCGGAAAUGCAAGUCAGGUGUAAAAGGCAGUAGCUUAACUACUGUAAGCAUUUGAAACUGCAUAUCUUGAGAAGAGUAGAGGUAAGUGGAAUUUUUAGUGUAGCGGUGAAAUGCGUAGAUAUUAAAAAGAAUACCGGUGGCGAAGGCGACUUACUGGGCUCAUUCUGACGCUGAGGAACGAAAGCGUGGGUAGCAAACAGG
rnacentral:rRNA from 1 species